rfam:Operophtera brumata OBRT01_Sc01196, whole genome shotgun sequence.
AAGACCUUACUUCAUAGGAUCAUUUCUAUAGUAAGCUCUUCCUCAGUCUUCCACAAUAUGUGAGACGAGCUCAAACCACGAUGAGGAGACGUGGCGCGGCGCCCUGAGCGUGAGAAUGGCAGAGGCAGCUUGUCUCUAGCCCUCGAUGAUCGUUCGCUCCCCUCACGGGGAGUGUGGGGUGUUGUCGCUGUCUGAGUGGU